rnacentral:lncRNA from 1 species
AUGCUCGCAUCGUUGAAUGAGGAAAUCAAGCGCGCAGCUAUUCGAACUCCGAACUAGGUACGUGGGUGGUUUCACGAUAACUGGAAUAGUUUUGUCGCCGUAACAGACAACACAUUUUUUAUUUAUUUUUGUGAAAAUGUAAAUUUAAUAAAAUAAAUGAUUAAAAUCAUUUCAUCUCAUUUUUAUUUUUUUAUCAAAGAUUUUUUAUUUACGAUUUCAGUAUCAGCAGGUGCUGACGGGUUCCACGACAAAGCCUCAAAAAUUCAGGCUGAUAUUAAGCGGAACCACCGCCCUAGCACACAUAGUCCAUCUUCAUCAAAGAGCAACUCGAGGAGUUCGUAUGGAAAAGAUCCAAUAAAAUGGAACCAAAAAAUAGAUUUUGCAACAAUUUACUGAUCUAUGAGAUGCUGUACUUGUGGAACACCCUGGCACCAUGCUCUACUAUAGGCAAAAUUAUUGAAGAUUGCUCGGAACCAAGAGAUCAGGAGCCUAUGAUAGGGCUUCGACUUUUAGUUCUUGGAGCAGCACUAAACAGCCGUGGCAAAAGUUCCGAUGCAGUGAAAAGCUUUAAAGAAGUCUUAUCUCUUCGUCAGAGUCUUCCAAAAACUGCCGACGAUGCACAUGUCUCUGCUUUUGCCUUGUAUGAACUCAGCAUGAUACUUUUAAGGGAGGAAUCGGUAAUGAAAAUGAAUAUUACUUUGAAGAAUUUUUACUAUUAUUUUGAUACGAUUUUUAUUAUUUUUUCCUUCAAUUUCAUUAUUUAAAGCGAUACACUGACGCAUAAUUUGCAACAAAGUGCACAGCAUUUUCUUACAUUUUUUGGAAAAUCUUGGAGAAAAAUUAUUUACAGGGUACAUUAGCUUUGAGCACACUUUGAAGAACAUUUUUUAGAUUUGAAACACCUCUUGACACCUGAUAACUUUGUCGAGUCUCUUAUAUCAAUGCUAUCAUUUAUCUUCCAAAACAAAAAAUCAGUUAGCUCAUUUUGGUUGAGAAGAAAUGCUGCAAACCUGUAUUUCUCUUUCAAAGUUACUACCAGUAACCAUACUUUCUAUCCCUGGUGCUAUUUCUCAAAAAAUUUUAACAGUUACAUAUAAAUUGACAAAUGUUGCAUCUCUGUCUAAACUUGCAUUUCUAGGGUUUCAACAUUCUUGUUGAAUUCUAGCGUCGUUGAAUUUUGCAUUAGAUGGGCUUAAAACUUAUGAACCUUGUUCUACUAUCAACAUGGGAAACAAAACUUUCUUCCUAAAAAUGUCGCCUUUGAUCCUGAUUUUUUAAUACUUAUAAUUUUCAGACAAGAGCCGAGGGAAAAUUUCAACUUCAGGAGCUACAAUCCAGUUACAAAACUACGAUUUUGAAAGUCGGCUCAGCAUGAAGAUUCAAGCUGCUUUGAAUUCUUUGAAAAGAUCCUAAGACUUAUGAGAAGUCAAAACAUUCUCUCUUAAAGAAAAUCACAGUUCCAGAGAGUUUAUGAAUCAAAACAAAGAUGCCUUCAGUCAUUAUUUUGUUAUCUAAUUGUUCUUGACUCUAGAUAUUUCAGAACAAUUGAGCCGCUCGGCAUGAAAAAAGUUGUGAUGCACUCAUAUUACUUCUUCUCAAGCCAUCUUUAUGUUUAGCCCAACGAUUAGGAAAACUGAUAAGAGUUUUUACCUCUUGGUUAAUGACUAUGUAAAAUGGGAUAUAGAAAAAACACUUGAAAAAUUAGAAGGCAUGAUGCUUGUAUUUGAGUUAAUGUCAAUUGAAAAUGAGAAAAUUCCAAACAAUUGACAAGGUACCCGUUGGUUUGAUUUCCAGUGGGUUACCAUGAAAUACAUUUUUAGGCCCUUUCCACAAAGAGACGCUUCGACAACUUAAGGGAGCCCCACAAUUUCAAAUAUAAAAGUAUCCCAUGUUUUAUGAAGGAACGGACGCACAAGCAUGGGUCAAAAUAUACAUUGCAUGAGCGAGUGAACUUAGUGCAUGAAAAAAGGUACACCCAAAGUAAGGUACACACUGUGAUGAAUUUAGACAUGAUAACUAAAAUCUCAAAUUUUUUACGAUGUGUCACUUAACUCUUAUUUACAUACAUGGGAAGCUAAUGUCUCUAGUCUUUUCCUCUCUUAUACAUUUCAUAUUCGUUUAUCAUACUGAGAUUAAAAUAUACAAUGCAGAAAAUAUAGGAUACCAACAAUAGUCAACAGCUAAACAAUUCAAGAAUUUGGUUAAAAUUUAAGUUUCCAGAGGGGAGGCAAAUAAUAACCCCCAUUCAUAGAGUUGCCUGGUUACUUAUCGACUAUCUUGAAAUGUCCAUUUUUAGAUAUCAAUGUUCCUUUCAGUUUUUCACUUGUCAGAUUGGUUUGAGCAAGAAAAGCUCCACACUCAGUCCACUAUUUCCAUCCAAUUUCUUUUUAUUUUUGAGAAGCACUGAUUGCCUAAUCGUUGUUCAGAUAAAUUCUUUAUUUUGUUAUCUAAUGUUAAAACUGAAGUUAGACUGAUUUUCUGAAUUGUUUUAUAGAGCACUUUGUAGUUCAAAUUUUAUAGUGUAUUUUAUUAUUGAAUAAAGCAGUAUUUCUAAAUUACUAAUCCAUUCUGAUUUUAACGAUGACCUUACCUGCAGGAACAAACCAAGAACUCAACAGGGACAGGUCAUUUUUUUAAUAAAAAAAUAUGGUUUCUUGCUUUGCAAAAAAAAAUCUAGCAGAAAGCCUUGCAUUGAAUGUAUAUUGCAUGCAAUAAAUGCAGCUUCUAUGACACUGGGAGGGAGCAAAGGUGAUUUUUCGGUUUCCAAACUCCUAAUUCAUUGAAAUAUAAAGUUUUUAGGUGGAGCAAAGAGCACUUUUCUCAGCCGAGUAAUAAGAUCAAUAUAACAGUGCAAAGUGCAAAGGUUCAAUUUUUCCCUGACAACCCAUUGAUGUAAUUUCCUAGCCUAGGGACUGAGUGAUUUUGUAACAGGUUGGCACAUAUCAACAGUAAGACUCCUGUCGCAGAACAUGAUACAAUGUUUGGGAGUUCACCGACAAUAUCCAAAAGUGAUACAAAUACUUGGUUAAAACUUAAUCAAAUAUUAUCACCGAUAAAGGAGUUUUGGGUGAAAUUUUUGUGAUCCUUAAAAGAACUUAAACAAUCACAUAAGGCAUUUUGACAGACUUUUCACCCUCCUCCCCAUCUUGUAACGGGCUCGCAAGACAACCUCUCGCCCUACCUCCCCCUUUGAAUUACCUAGGACUAGUCUGUUCCUUCCCUUGAUUUUUCAGAAAAUAACAGAUUAAGUCUGAUAAUGGCUGAAAAAAUAAUUUUUUUCAGAAGAUAUUUUUUUUUUUUUUCAAGUUCAGGGUUUAUGUAAGACUGGGCUUGACUUCCCCUUUCCUCCUUGUAGCCCAUGCAAGGCAAGCUCAGACCCCCUCUCCCUCCUAGGUAGCUUGUGUAUUACUUGGAUAGCCCCUCAGAUACUUAUGACCCGAUUGUACUGAUGACUUCAGUAAGAAGGUAAAUAUAAGCACUGGUGUUGAAUACCUAUUUUUACAAAGUUUCACCUUCGACAAAUUAUACUCAAAAUGAAGACAAAUUUAACCACUUUUUUAAAAAAAAGCCACUCAUGUCCAUGGCACUCUUCAAAUAGGUUCAUUCAAUGGUGAAUCAUUAAGAUGUCUCCAUUCUACCUGCUUAAUGCCUUACUUAGUGCUAUGACUAUUUGAAAAUGCUGCUACCUGAUAAAUACUUGAUGGCUUCAUCAAUUUUCUUCAGCCUGUCAGCUCCAACCAGAAAUGCGCUUGAGACACAUGCACAGAUUUGAAAACCUGAAAGAAAAGGAAAAAUAUUCCAUUUAAAAUUCAUAAAGGCUGAGGCUAAAAUUUUCAAAUUUGAGAUAUUUGUGGUUGCAUACUUUUGGUAUGAUGAACCCAAUCCAACAAAAUUACAGUUCAAGUAAAAAUGCAACAUUAAAAUAACUAAAAUUGAAGUUAUCAAACACAACCAAGUAAUGAACAAAAAAUUAGACUUAAAUCAUCAAAAUGAUGGUUUGUUGCACCAAUAUUUACAGCAGAAUAUCCGGCCAUUCCCAAUAUUUAUCUGGGAUAAAUGCUCCUUAUGCUUUUUUUAUUUGAUAAAAUUACCACCUAGGGUGGCCCUGAAGCGCGAUUUCCACUUUCCUUUGCUUUGAACCCUAAAACUGAUAUUUUUCGUGCUGCAGAGUUUGAUGUUCCAGUGAUGACUGGUUCACAAAAAGACACUGAUUUUUAUAGACACUUUAAAAUCUUUUUUUGUGGUCAUGGAAGACCGUGCUAUUCCAACACCCUGUCUACCCCUUUAGGACGACAGGGUAGGAGAGGAACAUGGCCACCUGGUGGCGGGCGGUCCGUACUGUUUGACUGUAUUGUGAUUAAAUUAAGACAUUUCUAGUUUCCAUUACCUACUGCCACUUUCAUAGUGAUGAUUGCUGAUUCUUGUUUCUUGCAUUUUUAAGCUGAAUAAGAGGCCAUUUUGCAAGAAUAACCUAGACUCCUUACCCUAGCUUCAAUGCAAUUUUAAGAUUAAGUGUGAAGCAGGGUACCAAGAGGGUAGAAUCUUGAGAAUGGAUUCAAAUACCUACAAGAUUACGUUAAUGGUUAACUCAACUACUCGUUUCCAAGUAUUUGAAUCUCUUCUUGCCAGGUAAUAUGCUUGAAGACAAUCUGACAUCAAAUAAUUGACCAGACAUUUUUAGUUUUUUUUUUUUUUUUGAAGAAAAAGCACCUCAAAAGAGUUAGUCUUCAAUUUUGGCAUUUAAUGAUGGAGACCAUUGGGUUUAGAGGAUGAUGCAAUCAGGUAAGUACAUUUAAAACCCACUGGAACUUGCCCUUCAAUUAUAAACUCAGUACCUAACACUGCAGAAUUUAACAAAGAU